CCCUUAGAUGUUCUGGGCCGCACGCGUGCUACACUGAGUGGAUCAGCGGGUCAGGUUGCGCGAAAGCGUUUCGUAAUCUUUAAAUCCGCUCGUGAUGGGGAUUGACGGUUGCAAUUUUCUGUCAUGAACGAGGAAUACCUUGUAAGCGCGGGUCAUCAUCCCGCGCUGAAUACGUCCCUGCCCUUUGUACACACCGCCCGUCGCUCCUACCGAUUGAGUGGUCCGGUGAGGCUUUGGGAUCUGAGCGGAAAGAGCGUUUCGCUGUUUCUGCUCGGAAAACUCAGUCGAACCUUAUCAUUUAGAGGAAGGAGAAGUCGUAACA
rnacentral:rRNA from 1 species